rnacentral:rRNA from 1 species
UGAGGAAUAUUGGUCAAUGGGCGAGAGCCUGCACCAGCCAAGUAGCGUGCAGGAUGACGGCCCUAUGGGUUGUAAACUGCUUUUAUGUGGGGAUAAAGUGCGUGACGUGUCAUGCAUUGCAGGUACCACAUGAAUAAGGACCGGCUAAUUCCGUGCCAGCAGCCGCGGUAAUACGGAAGGUCCGGGCGUUAUCCGGAUUUAUUGGGUUUAAAGGGAGCGUAGGCUGUCUAUUAAGCGUGUUGUGAAAUAUACCGGCUCAACCGGUGGCUUGCAGCGCGAACUGGUCGACUUGAGUAUGCAGGAAGUAGGCGGAAUUCAUGGUGUAGCGGUGAAAUGCUUAGAUAUCAUGACGAACUCCGAUUGCGCAGGCAGCUUACUGUAGCAUAACUGACGCUGAUGCUCGAAAGUGCGGGUAUCAAACAGG